rnacentral:rRNA from 1 species
AUGAUUAGGUGUUUUUUUUGGUUCAGUCAUGUUGAGUGCUUUUUUCUCAGUUUUCUUCUCAGCAUAUGUCUCUAUUACUGUGUUGUUCUUUUCAUUCCCAAAGACUGCCUUAGCAGCACAAAGUACACAUUUUUUUUCAGCCCUCGAGCUGCAGCUCACAUGGUUUGUUCCAAGAAGAGAGACAAUAGUGUCCAUACUGUACUACUAUUUCCAAUUGUGCUUGGCCUGAAUCGGUGCCCUCCUUUUUGGUGGUGCUGGUGUGAUGAUUUGUUGAAGCCAAAAUGGCUAGUAGUAUCUCAUACUGAAGCUUAUUAA